rnacentral:rRNA from 1 species
AUGCCGAUCUGCCCGGCGCCGUCGGAGUCCUCGGGCUCCGGGAGCCGCGUGUGGAUCUUCCACGGGCUGGCGCUCGGCGCGGCGGCGGCCGCCACCGCGGCCGCCUACGUGUACCGCCGGCCCCGCGGGUUCCGCAGCCUGGCGGUGGGCAUCAUCCCCGCGCGCUACGCCUCCUCCCGCUUCGACGGCAAGCCGCUCGCCCUCAUCCUCGGCAAGCCCAUGAUACAGAGAACCUGGGAAAGAGUUAUGCUAGCUUCUUCAUUAAACCAUGUUGUUGUGGCAACGGAUGAUGAGAAAAUUGCUGAGUGCUGUAGAGGAUUUGGAGCUGAUGUUAUAAUGACAUCAGUAUCAUGCCAAAAUGGAUCUGAGCGCUGCUGUGAGGCACUUCAAAAGCUCAGGAAACAUUAUGACAUUGUUGUCAAUAUUCAAGGGGAUGAGCCUCUUAUUGAACCAGAUAUCAUAGACGGUGUGGUUAUGGCAUUGCAGCGAGCUCCUGAUGCAGUCUUCAGCACAGCUGCCACGGCACUAAAACCUGAAGAUGCAUUUGACACAAACCGAGUGAAGUGUGUAGUAGACAACCAGGGUUAUGCAAUAUACUUCUCAAGAGGGCUGAUCCCAUUUAACAAAUCAGGGAAAGUCAAUCCUCACUUUCCAUAUCUUCUUCAUCUUGGAAUUUCGGGCUUUGAUUCGAAGUUUCUGAAGAUCUAUCCACAGCUUGCACCAACCCCACUGCAACUAGAAGAGGACCUGGAGCAACUUAAAGUUCUUGAGAAUGGCUACAAGAUGAAGGUUAUCAAGGUGGACCAUGAUGCCCAUGGUGUGGAUGCGCCCGAAGACGUUGAGAAAAUAGAAGCAUUGAUGCGGGCAAGGAACAUCCAGUAG